CGAACGGGUGAGUAACGCGUGAGCAACCUGCCUAUGACAGUGGGAUAGCCUCGGGAAACCGGGACUAAUACCGCAUAAAAUCGUAGAAACACAUGUUUUAACGGUCAAAGAUUUAUCGGUCAUAGAUGGGCUCGCGUCUGAUUAGCUAGUUGGUGAGAUAACAGCCCACCAAGGCGACGAUCAGUAGCCGGUCUGAGAGGAUGAACGGCCACAUUGGAACUGAGACACGGUCCAA
rnacentral:rRNA from 1 species